AAUCUCAUAUGAUCACCAAAGUUAAGCAACAUUGAGCCUGGUUGGUACCUAGUGGGUGACCACUUGGGAGUACAAAAUGCUGUAAG